rnacentral:rRNA from 1 species
GCGAGCGAUCUUGAGGUGCUUGCACCUCUUGGUUAGCGGCGGACGGGUGAGUAACACGUGGGCAACCUGCCUGUAAGACUGGGAUAACUUCGGGAAACCGGAGCUAAUACCGGAUAAUCCUUUUCCUCUCAUGAGGAAAAGCUGAAAGUCGGUUUACGCUGACACUUACAGAUGGGCCCGCGGCGCAUUAGCUAGUUGGUGAGGUAACGGCUCACCAAGGCGACGAUGCGUAGCCGACCUGAGAGGGUGAUCGGCCACACUGGGACUGAGACACGGCCCAGACUCCUACGGGAGGCAGCAGUAGGGAAUCUUCCGCAAUGGACGAAAGUCUGACGGAGCAACGCCGCGUGAGCGAUGAAGGCCUUCGGGUCGUAAAGCUCUGUUGUUAGGGAAGAACAAGUACCGGAGUAACUGCCGGUACCUUGACGGGUACCUUAACCAGAAAAGCCACGGCUUAACUACGUGGCCAGCCAGCCGCGGGUAAAUACCGUAAGGUGGGCAAAGCGGUUUGUUCCCGGAAAUUUAUUGGGGCGUAAAGGCGCCGCCCCAAGGCGGGU